UACAGAGGGUGCAAGCGUUAUUCGGAAUUACUGGGCGUAAAGAGCGUGUAGGCUGUUUAUUAAGUCUGGUGUGAAAUCCCUGGGCCCAAUCCAGGAAGUGCAUUGGAUACUGAUAGACUUGAGUGCAGGAGAGGUAAGCGGAAUUCCAGGUGUAGAGGUGAAAUUCGUAGAUAUCUGGAGGAACAACAGUGGCGAAGGCGGCUUACUGGACUGCAACUGACGCUAAGGCGCGAAAGCGUGGGGAGCAAACAGG
rnacentral:rRNA from 1 species